rnacentral:lncRNA from 1 species
AAGUAUUUGCAUGGGAACCAAAAGAUUGAGAUUAAAUGGUGGUACAUGCAGAGCUGUUUAAUUCCCGGAAUUGAAUUUCCAGACAGCCAUAAUUCUAGAAACAGAAGUAACUGGAUCAAUUUCCACAUUUAUAAACUACUGAAGUGUUCUGGAAACGCCAAGACAUUACAUUUUCUUAUAAAGAUACCCCAUUAAUACGACCACUCCGGUAAUACGGCCAAAUUACGGGGUUCCUUCACUGAACACGUACUUCAUUAUUUAAAUAGUAUCGACAUACUUAAAUCUUUUUAACCCGGCUGGUAUAUCGUCUUGGUAAAAUGGGGUCGGCACGGAACUC